UACGUAGGGGGCUAGCGUUGUCCGGAAUCAUUGGGCGUAAAGCGCGUGUAGGCGGCUCGGUAAGUCCGGUGUGAAACCUUGGGGCUCAACCCCAAGCCUGCACUGGAUACUGUCGAGCUCGAGUCCGGGAGGGGAGAGCGGAAUUCCUAGUGUAGCGGUGAAAUGCGCAGAUAUUAGGAAGAACACCGGUGGCGAAGGCGGCUCUCUGGAACGGUACUGACGCUGAGACGCGAAAGCGUGGGGAGCGAACAGG
rnacentral:rRNA from 1 species